rnacentral:rRNA from 1 species
UACGGAGGUGGCAAGCGUUGCUCGGAAUCACUGGGCGUAAAGGGCGCGUAGGCGGGGAGGUAAGUCGGGUGUGAAAUCCCUCGGCCCAACCGAGGAACUGCGCCCGAGACUGCUUCUCUUGAGUCUCGGAGAGGAAGGUGGAAUGCUUGGUGUAGAGGUGAAAUUCGUAGAUAUCAAGCAGAACACCUGCGGCGAAGGCGGCCUUCUGGACGAUGACUGACGCUGAGACGCGAAAGCGUGGGGAGCAAACAGG